rnacentral:rRNA from 1 species
UGGGGAAUAUUGGACAAUGGGCGCAAGCCUGAUCCAGCCAUGCCGCGUGAGUGAAGAAGGCCCUAGGGUUGUAAAGCUCUUUCGCCAGGGAAGAUAAUGACGGUACCUGGUAAAGAAGUCCCGGCUAACUCCGUGCCAGCAGCCGCGGUAAUACGGAGGGGACUAGCGUUGUUCGGAAUUACUGGGCGUAAAGAGUACGUAGGCGGCUUGCCAAGUUGGAUGUGAAAGCCCGGGGCUCAACCCCGGAACUGCAUUCAAAACUGGUUGGCUAGAGAUCGGAAGAGGUAAGUGGAAUUCCCAGUGUAGAGGUGAAAUUCGUAGAUAUUGGGAAGAACACCGGUGGCGAAGGCGACUUACUGGUCCGAUACUGACGCUGAGGUACGAAAGCGUGGGGAGCAAACAGG